rnacentral:misc_RNA from 1 species
UGAAAAUGGCAUCACUAACAGGGAUUGGAAGCCAGAAAAUGUUUUAUUGUGUUCCUCGUAUGAUGAAACGCUUAUAAAGAUCAGAAUUCCUAUAUGGAAACACUCUGUGGUACACCAAGUUACCUCGCUACCAAAAUGUUAAUCCCGUAGCCUGAAGAACGAUCCUACAAGAAAUCGUGUGACUGCUGGAGCCUGGGAGUUAUACUAUAUGUUUGGCAAAUAACCCAUUGGAGAAACAAGUCAAAGAAGGGUCGUAUAAAUUUCCGAACAACCUCUGGAAGAAUGUUAGCAGUGAAGCUAAGGAUCUUAUAACAAAACUGCUUACUGUUGGUCACAGAAAAUGCAUCACGGUUUCAGAAGCUCUGGAACAUCCUUGGAUGAAGGAUAAAGAAAUGAUAGAAAAAGCAGAAAAAAUGAUAAACCGACCGUGGAUGGAAGA